UACGUAGGGUGCAAGCGUUAAUCGGAAUUACUGGGCGUAAAGCGUGCGCAGGCGGCUUUGCAAGACAGAUGUGAAAUCCCCGGGCUUAACCUGGGAACUGCAUUUGUGACUGCAUGGCUGGAGUGUGGCAGAGGGGGAUGGAAUUCCGGCGUGUAGCAGUGAAAUGCGUAGAUAUGCGGAGGAACACCGAUGGCGAAGGCAAUCCCCUGGGCCUGCACUGACGCUCAUGCACGAAAGCGUGGGGAGCAAACAGG
rnacentral:rRNA from 1 species